CACGUAGGGACCAAGCGUUGUCCGGAUUCAUUGGGCGUAAAGAGCUCGUAGGCGGCUCAGUAAGUCAGGUGUGAAAACUCCAGGCUCAACCUGGAGACGCCACUUGAUACAGCUGUGGCUAGAGUCCGGUAGGGGAGCAUGGAAUUCCUGGUGUAGCGGUGAAAUGCGCAGAUAUCAGGAGGAACACCAGUGGCGAAGGCGGUGCUCUGGGCCGGAACUGACGCUGAGGAGCGAAAGCGUGGGGAGCAAACAGG
rnacentral:rRNA from 1 species